rnacentral:rRNA from 1 species
UGGCGGACGGGUGAGUAAUGUCUGGGAAACUGCCUGAUGGAGGGGGAUAACUACUGGAAACGGUAGCUAAUACCGCAUAACGUCGCAAGACCAAAGAGGGGGACCUUAGGGCCUCUUGCCAUCGGAUGUGCCCAGAUGGGAUUAGUUAGUAGGUGGGGUAACGGCUCACCUAGGCGACGAUCCCUAGCUGGUCUGAGAGGAUGACCAGCCACACUGGAACUGAGACACGGUCCAG